rnacentral:rRNA from 1 species
GUGGGGAAUAUUGCACAAUGGGCGCAAGCCUGAUGCAGCGACGCCGCGUGGGGGAUGAAGGCCUUCGGGUUGUAAACCCCUUUCAGCAGGGAAGAAGCGAAAGUGACGGUACCUGCAGAAGAAGCGCCGGCUAACUACGUGCCAGCAGCCGCGGUAAUACGUAGGGCGCAAGCGUUGUCCGGAAUUAUUGGGCGUAAAGAGCUCGUAGGCGGUUUGUCGCGUCUACUGUGAAAACCCGAGGCUCAACCUCGGGCCUGCAGUGGGUACGGGCAGACUAGAGUGCGGUAGGGGAGAUUGGAAUUCCUGGUGUAGCGGUGGAAUGCGCAGAUAUCAGGAGGAACACCGAUGGCGAAGGCAGAUCUCUGGGCCGUAACUGACGCUGAGGAGCGAAAGCGUGGGGAGCGAACAGGAUUAGAAACCCUAGUAGUCC